UACGGAGGGGGCAAGCGUUAUUCGGAAUUAUUGGGCGUAAAGCGCACGUAGGCGGCCCGUUAAGUCUCAUGGUGAAAGGCCGGGGCUCAACCCCGAGCAUGCCGGGGAUACUGGGGGGCUGGAGACAGGUAGAGGCCAGCGGAAUUCCGGGUGUAGCGGUGGAAUGCGUAGAGAUCCGGAAGAACACCGGAGGCGAAGGCGGCUGGCUGGACCUGAUCUGACGCUGAGGUGCGAAAGCGUGGGGAGCGAACAGG
rnacentral:misc_RNA from 1 species